AAAGCUUCAUACCUAUCUAGGUAUUGAUCAUAUCUACUUACCAUAAAAAGAUUUCGAAGACAUCAUAGUAAAUCCAAACUUAGAAAUUUAAAUAAUUUUAUUUCUCAAAAAAAAAAAAAAAGUUCAAAUCUUUGAAUUAAUUCAAGUCGUAGAUCCGUGCACGCGGGUCUCGUGCAAAUUGGACCGCGUUUUGACUCUCUUCACAUGGCCCAUCCCCUUGGACCAUUUCACGAUUCCCGAACACUUUUCUCCAUCCUCACCACACCUCCGGCAACCAAUCGCCGCCGUUUCCCUCUUUUCCGGCAACCAUUUCCGCCGUCAAUACGAUUUUCCGGCGUAACUCUCACCGGCAGGUAUUGUAAAGCCUAUUAGCUCAACCGGUAGAGCACUAUGCGCUUGCAUGGAGGAAUGUAGGUUCGAAUCCUAUGUAGGCUGUCAAUGGUUCAAUGUUGACACUCAGAAAUUGUAUCUUUGUAAUUGUGGUUGAUAUACUUUCAUAUAAACGUCACCUUUUUUUCAAAAAUAUUGAGCUGAUCUAAGUAUCUGCAAAUCUAACUAAAUGACGUAAAUGUAUCGAGGAAAAGUAUGCCAUUUCCUGCUGGAUGAUGUUUAUGAUUGAAAUGUAGAAAUAAGGUGUUGAAAUAUUAUUGUCCUUUUCCUGGUG